rnacentral:rRNA from 1 species
GACGAACGCUGGCGGCGUGCCUAAUACAUGCAAGUAGAACGCACAGUUUAUACCGUAGCUUGCUACACCAUAGACUGUGAGUUGCGAACGGGUGAGUAACGCGUAGGUAACCUGCCUGGUAGCGGGGGAUAACUAUUGGAAACGAUAGCUAAUACCGCAUAAUAUUGAUUAUUGCAUGAUAAUUGAUUGAAAGAUGCUAUUGCAUCACUACCAGAUGGACCUGCGUUGUAUUAGCUAGUAGGUGAGGUAACGGCUCACCUAGGCGACGAUACAUAGCCGACCUGAGAGGGUGAUCGGCCACACUGGGACGGAGACACGGCCCAGACUCCUACGGGAGGCAGCAGUAGGGAAUCUUCGGCAAUGGACGAAAGUCUGACCGAGCAACGCCGCGUGAGUGAAGAAGGUUUUCGGAUCGUAAAGCUCUGUUGUAAGAGAAGAACGGGUGUGAGAGUGGAAAGUUCACACUGUGACGGUAUCUUACCAGAAAGGGACGGCUAACUACGUG